rnacentral:rRNA from 1 species
CGGCGAAAGCCGGGAUUAAUACCGCAUACGACCUACGGGUGAAAGCGGGGGAUCGCAAGACUUCGCGCUAUCGGAGCGGCCGAUGUCAGAUUAGCUAGUUGGUGGGGUAAAGGCCUACCAAGGCGACGAUCUGUAGCUGGUCUGAGAGGACGACCAGCCACACUGGGACUGAGACACGGCCCAGACUCCUACGGGAGGCAGCAGUGGGGAAUUUUGGACAAUGGGCGCAAGCCUGAUCCAGCCAUGCCGCGUGCGGGAAGAAGGCCUUCGGGUUGUAAACCGCUUUUGUCAGGGAAGAAACGCUCCGGGCUAAUACCUCGGAGUAAUGACGGUACCUGAAGAAUAAGCACCG